GUAUGGACGAGAGUCUGAACCACCCAGUAGCGUGAAGGAUGACUGCCCUAUGGGUUGUAAACUUCUUUUAUACNGGAAUAAAGUGAGCCACGUGUGGUUUUUUGUAUGUACCGUAUGAAUAAGGAUCGGCUAACUCCNUGCCAGCAGCCGCGGUAAUACNGAGGAUCCNAGCGUUAUCCGGAUUUAUUGGGUUUAAAGGGAGCGUAGGCGGGUUGUUAAGUCAGUUGUGAAAGUUUGCGGCUCAACCGUAAAAUUGCAGUUGAUACUGGCGACCUUGAGUGCAACAGAGGUAGGCGGAAUUCGUGGUGUAGCGGUGAAAUGCUUAGAUAUCACGAAGAACUCCGAUUGCGAAGGCAGCUUACUGGAUUGUAACUGACGCUGAUGCUCGAAAGUGUGGGUAUCAAACAGGAUUAGAUACCCUGGUAGUCCAAGGGCGAAUUC
rnacentral:rRNA from 1 species